rnacentral:rRNA from 1 species
GUCUAUGGCCAUACCAUCCUGAAUGCGCCCGAUCUCGUCUGAUCUCAGAAGCUAAGCAGGAUCAGGCCUGGUUGGGAGACUUGGAUGGGAGACUGUCUGCGAAUACCUGGUGUUGUAGGCU